rnacentral:tRNA from 1 species
GCCAGGAGAGCAUGGGCGGGUCAUGCGCUCGACUUGUAAUCGAGAAUCCGUGGGUUCGAAUCCCACUCCUGGCU